rnacentral:lncRNA from 1 species
GGGAGGCAUCCGAAAGGAGGAGCUAAGAGAUGUAAAAGAAGAAAACAGGCAGGUGAAAAAAACAUUCAGAGUUACGCUGUGUUUUCUCCAUAAUUUAGGUUUCUCUUUGCACAUGAGAUUCAGUAGACCGAUCCUUAAGGAGCGUGAACUUAUUUUUUACGAUUGAUAAACCCUCUGAAGAUUUAUACCACGCUGUCAUUGUUUCUCUGACCCAUCUGGUGACUGUGAUCAUAUUCAAACAUUAAAUGGGAGGAAAAUAAAUGUGCAUUCUUUCUGGGAUGGCACACACAUAUGUUCUCAGCCUGAAAGUCAGAUUCGGCUGAAGAAGACACACACCAAAAAAUGGAUCUGCUUAAAUGGGAAGAGGCUCAAAUCAGUUCCCAAGCAGCUGCUUUAUUUUGAGCAAAGCUGCAUGUAAUACUAGAUGGGAUUAAAUCUCUUUUUCUGAUGAGGAGCUGGCCAAAUGUUUCCUGGUUUCUAACUUAGGGAUGUCAAAGAGGAACAAAGAGGACCUUCCAAGAUAUCUUCUGCUGAAUAUGUCAUUCAAGAUUCUUCCUAGCCAGACCUUUGCUAAUUGGAGAUAAACGUCUCUAGGUAAAUUGUCUGAGAAUAAAUUACUUCAAUCGACAGAGAACUUGAUUCUUUAUUUAAGCAUGCUGGGGGCUUCAGGGCAAUUUUAUUCAUUUAUUCUUUUGAGUAAGGUGCUGAUAUUGGCCAUUUUUUUUCUUUCUUUCCUUUUUGUUCUUAAAGAUUGGCACCUGAGCUAACAACAGUUGCCAAUCUUCUUUCUUCUUUUUCUUUUUCCUUGCUUUUUCUCCCCAAAUCCCCCCAGUACAUAGUUUAUAUUUUAGUUGUGGGUCCUGCUAGUUGUGAUAUGUGGGAUGCCGCCUCAGCAUGGCCUAAUGAACGGUGCCAUGUCCACGACCAGGAUCCGAACCGGCGAAACCCUGGGCCACUGAAGCGGAGCAUGUGAACUUAACCCCUCGCCCACGGGGCCAGCCCCUGCUAUUUGCCAUUUUUAAUGGUAUGCCAAAAAAGAUUCUCCUUCUCUGUCUCUGACUGAAGGGACUAAUUAGCUGGAAGUAAAUUCUCUCAUUUUUGCACAAGAGGAUCACAAGAAUAUUCUGCUUUGAAAAGUAUAGAUUUGCCUAAUAAUUUCAUGUGAAAUUCCUGUGUGUUACUUAAGGAGCAAAUAGCCUUCAUGUCUCAUUUCAAAGAUAAGAAACCCAGCCAACAAGGUAUAAAAUAACUUUACCGGAUGGUAAAUUCUAGGUCUCUGAGACUAAGCCAGACUACGAGCCGGGGCAAGUUCUUAAAAACCACGUUUCCUUCCUUAGGUCAAAUUCACUUUCUACUUGUGAUCACGGAUUUUGAUUUGCGACGUUUUCUCGAAUUUCCUGAGGGUAAAAAAUGCUUGUGAGGGAGAAGAUGGUCUCCGUAACUGCGCGUGGGGAGGUGCUGACACAUGUGCUUCUUCAGGAGUCAGAAUGCCAGGUGUUCCUUUCGGCCUCGCCUGUCACUCUCCUCUCUGCUGGUUCUUGUAUUCACACAGCCUGUGCUGCCUUUGGAACUUGAAGGCCUUGCUCCAAGCCAGCCUGCCAGAGUUUGAGAACAGUCACAUGCAAAGUUCUGGAAAUUGACCAUUAAUCAAAUGAGAGAAAAAAUAUGAAAAACAACUUCAUCAUUCUGUCAAAUGUCAAGUCACUGACGUGCAUCUGUGGAGCCCUUGAAAUAAACUAUCUCCUGACAAUAUUUUCAAAACGUGGCCUUUGUGAACCACCUGCAUUAAAAUCAUUUCCAGUGUAUGGGUGGAGGGGGCACACAGGGGACAAAACAGUGGUAUUAAAAAUGCAGAUUCCUUUUCCCCACCCCAGAGGUAACGAGUACACCAGAGUCUUUGAGGCAGGGCCUGGGAAUCUGCAUUUUCCAGGGUGAUUCUUGUGCAUUGUGAUGUCUUAAAAACAGCUGUUUUAAGAAGUAAGUCAUCUUACUCAAGAAAAUUUUAUCUUGGAUUGAAAAUCAAAAGGGUGGUGAGAAAUGAAGGGCACAUUCUAAGACAUUCCUUGGCCACUGCAACAAUACUUUUUUCCCAGCUUUAUUGAAGUAUGAUCGACAUAUAACAUUGUGUAAGGUUACGAUGUACAAUGUGAUGAUUUGUUACGUGUAUAUAUUAUGAAAUGAUUGCCACAAUAGAGUUAGUUAACACCUCAUCAUCUCAC